AUGAAGAAAAUCACAAUACCCACACACACACACACACACACACACACACACACACACACUUACUCAGUGUCCCCCAGUGCAGGUAUGACACAAUUGCCUUUCCACACUGUCAUUUCUCUAAUUCAACUUCCUGUGUCUCUCCUAGCAAGGUCACCAGCUGAACUCAUUGGUGUUGACACCCCGGAUGAUAGCGUAUUGUCCCCAGUGACACAUCCACAAGGCCGGGCGGUUUUACUCUCCACCUGCCCUGUGGGGGUGACAGCGUAUGACUCUUGUCUCAGUGUAACGGAGGAGGGAGGAGGACAUAGGGCCUAGUCGAAGGCCCCGCGGAAACCUGAGCGUGCCUGAUGCUUUGAUGGAGCCAGCCCAUGCCUGCACUCCAUCAGUCAUGAUAUGCAGUACCCUUGUUGUCAAAGCAGCUCUAGUAAAAUGUCAAGUCUCACUUCCUUUUCCUAUUUACUUCAUUUUGAACUUUACUCUAAUUUAUUACAACAAACAAUUAACAAUGCAAGCCUAAAUGUGCCUAUUUUAUUUUGUAAUUUUAAUGUACUUUUUCUAUUUUAUUUUUAUAUAAAAAAAAUCAACAGUAAAGAUUGCACAUCUUGUUUAUUAAAUUAUCUAUUCUUAGUGUACUUUAGAAAUUUAAAUUAUGACUGUUGCCAUUAUGAACACUAACAUACAGAAGUGUAUCAAAAUGAUAAAUGUGGAUUUAAAAACAUUAGCAUUAUCUAUUUUUGGCCUAUUCUUUAAAAUUAGUCAUCACUGAAUUUCAUAUUGCUGAAUAAAUCUAAAAAAGACAUGAAAAAAUUUGUUACA
ensembl:lncRNA